rnacentral:snoRNA from 1 species
AUUCCCUUAUGAUGAAAUAACCAAGCAAUCAUAGAGUCAAGCUCUGAGGCAAAAAUAGCCGGUGGCGAGAAU